ensembl:lncRNA
GCUCUCAUUCAUUCAUCUUUCUCCGAGCGACAGCUCUCGACUGGGAGCUGCGAGGCCCAGCUGCCUCGGAGGGCCGCGCGCUCUGCUGGGGCAGCCAAGGAGGAUGUGGGAGCCUAGAGAAGGGGCCUCCGUUUCCCCGCGGGAGGCCCCCACGGACCCAAACCAGCUGCAGCCAGGAACCCGGACCAGAGCUGGAGGAGGCCCUGUGCCCCGCCAGGACACUGGUGGUCGCCUUGGGGAGGGGAGGGAGACGGGCCGGGUUUUGUCCCUCUCUCUGAGGCCUGCACUGAGGCCAGGCUGGGCCCGGGGAAGGUGAUGGUCCGCGUCUCAGGCCUCGCGAAUGAGCAGCCCCGGAGAAAGGAGCGAGCCCCUGCCAGGCAGUGACAGGUGUACUCUUCUCAGUGCUGGUUACUUGGAGCUGGGGCUGCACUGCCCAGGGUCCUGGAGGGGGCACGGGUUUGGGCUGAAUCAAGCGACCAAAGGAAUUGGGUGGUCCAGUCCAGCACUGAUGGUGGAACACCCUGCCUAGAAGUGGACAAUUCUAGAAUGCUGGACAUGGGCAGGAGCAACCCUGUCCCCACUAGGUCCACCUCCCACGUCAUCCCACUGCCCAGGAAGCAGUGACUGGAGCGGAGCCACGUGCCCACGUGAACCCAGUGAACAAGAGGCAGCGCUAGCCCAACUCCAACUCUAGCCAUCAUGUUUGUGGGGACAAGUCUAGGCAGGUCUGCAAAGUGGGGGCACUCACCCCUGGGUGCAAAACAAUUAAGUGGGGAGGGAAGAAAAUAAUAGAUUUUUUUUUUUUUUUUUGACACAGUCUUACUCCGUUGCCUAGACUGGAGUGCAGUGGCGCGAUCUGGGCUGACCGCAGCCUCCACCCCCCAGGCUGAGGUGGGAGGAUGCUUGACCUCAGGAGGUUGAGGCUGCAGUGAGCUGUGAUUGCACCGCUGCACUCUAGCCUGGGUGACAAGAGUGAGACCCUGUCAAAAAAGAUGGGGAGGGAAAAGGAAGCGAAAGAAAGAGAGGCAAAUGAGAGGCUUGUAACUUGGCUGUAGGGCGUAUACCAGGCAAGACCCUGGCUGGAAACAGAAAGUGCCACUUACUGGGGCUAACUGGAGAGAGUUUGAUAAAGGGGAUGUUUACCAUGCACGGCACGGGGGAGGGGGGAUGAAAGGAGAUCAGUAAGGACUGGCACAGUUGGAGGAGUGGCGGCAGUUACCAGCCCAGGGUGAGGGGGCGUAGAGGGGGUCCCUGGAGGAGAGGCCUGCCUGAGAGGAGCUGUGUUAAGAGGGGUCCCCAGUUUUGGGGCACUCAUGGGGAAGAGGACCCAGAAGGGCUAUUCUGAUCUGACUCCCGUGUCCUUCUUAUUCUUCCAUUGCCUCCCGUUAACCAAUCCUGUCUGGAUGCAGCAGGCAGGGCCGAGUUGUUGCUGUGCCCACAGUGCAGGGUGGAGAAGUGCACAGUGGCCUGGAGGGGCUGUGAGCCUGAGCCAGCUUGGGUGAGUGAUGUUAUCCGGUUUUGACUAAAUUAACUCUCACAGAAUGGACUCAUAGCUGAAAACAAUUCUUGCAAGGAAAGCACAGAUUGGUCCUGGCGCGGCAGCUCAUGCCUGUAAUCCCAGCACUUUGAGAGGCCGAGGCUGGUGGAUCACAAGGUCGGGAGAUUGAGACUAUCCUGGCCAACACGGUGAAACCCCGUCUCUACUAAAAAUACAAAAAUUAGCUGGGCAUGGUGGUGCGUGCCUAUAAUCCCAGCUACUCGGGAAGCUGAGGCAGGAAAAUCGCUUGAACCAGGGAGUCGGAGGUUGCAGUGAGCCAAGAUCACACCACUGCACUCCAGCCUGGUGACAGAGCAAGACUCCAUCUCAAAAAAAAAAAAAAAA